AUGAACGCUGGCGGCGUGUUUAACACAUGCAAGUCGAACGGAAAGGCUCCUGCUUGCAGGGGUACUCGAGUGGCGAACGGGUGAGUAACACGUGGGUGAUCUGCCCUGCACUUCGGGAUAAGCCUGGGAAACUGGGUCUAAUACCGGAUAGGACCACAUUUUGGAUGGUGUGGUGGAAAGUUUUUCGGUGUGGGAUGAGCUCGCGGCCUAUCAGCUUGUUGGUGGGGUAAUGGCCUACCAAGGCGUCGACGGGUAGCCGGCCUGAGAGGGUGUACGGCCACAUUGGGACUGAGAUACGGCCCAGACUCCUACGGGAGGCAGCAGUGGGGAAUAUUGCACAAUGGGCGCAAGCCUGAUGCAGCGACGCCGCGUGGGGGAUGACGGCCUUCGGGUUGUAAACUCCUUUCGCUAGGGACGAAGCGCAAGUGACGGUACCUGGAGAAGAAGCACCGGCUAACUACGUG
rnacentral:rRNA from 1 species